rnacentral:rRNA from 1 species
UACGUAGGGGGCAAGCGUUGUCCGGAUUUAUUGGGCGUAAAGGGCGCGUAGGCGGCCUGUUAAGUCGGACGUGAAAUCCCUCGGCUCAACCGGGGAACUGCGUCCGAUACUGGCGGGCUUGAAUUCGGGAGAGGGAUGUGGAAUUCCAGGUGUAGCGGUGAAAUGCGUAGAUAUCUGGAGGAACACCGGUGGCGAAGGCGGCAUCCUGGACCGACAUUGACGCUGAGGCGCGAAAGCCAGGGGAGCAAACGGG